rnacentral:misc_RNA from 1 species
UUUGGUUGUGAAAUUGUUCUAGAGUGUGGAUAUUAUUCUUUGCUUAGGUAAAUGUAGAUAAGCAUGCUCACAAUUUUUUCAGCAAUGGCACAAAAUGAAAUUCUAACACUCAUUUAGGCAUGCUGCUAUGCUAUUUUAAUUUCUGUUGUGUUUUAGCAUGUUUAUUACUAAUGAUGCUCCUUAGCAUAUAAGUGUGAGUUUUUACCUUUAAAUCUAGGUGCAUGCGUGGUUCUUUGACACUUCCAAAGUUUCCAUAUCCGUUGUGCUUGAAAAACUGAAGUUUGUGUGCCAGAAGGUUGCAAGUGGUUCAAAAUAAUCUUAUUUUCAGAAAUUGCUUCAAAAUGUUAAAUAAUUUAAAAGAGCUCUUGAAUUUGAAAAUUCUGAUCAUGCAUGCUUAUUUUCUAGAAUAGUCAACUUGCUGUCUUAGCCACUACUUGGCCCCAGCUUAGCAAAAUUUUGUGAAAUAUGAUAUUGUUCUAGCUCUUUAGCUUCUCUAGGGGGGCUUACUCAAAUUCCUAAAUGGGCACAUGCAAAAUUUCUAGUAGCAACUAUUCAGAAAAAUUUCAUGACUUGAUAUGCUACAUAAUCAACUAUCAAACCUUGAUGUUCCAUUUAGUAUAGUACUGACAUCUACUAGUGAAAAGUUAAAAGCAGUGUCGCAAGGUGUUUUGCGGUCGCUUGGACGAACACUCACCGAAGUGG